rnacentral:rRNA from 1 species
GUGGCGAACGGGUGAGUAAUACAUCGGAACGUGCCUAGUAGUGGGGGAUAACUACUCGAAAGAGUGGCUGAUACCGCAUGACAUCUAUGGAUAGAAGCAGGGGACCUUCGGGCCUUGUGCUACUAGAGCGGCCGAUGGCAGAUUAGGUAGUUGGUGGGAUAAAAGCUUACCAAGCCGACGAUCUGUAGCUGGUCUGAGAGGACGAUCAGCCACACUGGGACUGAGACACGGCCCAGACUCCUACGGGAGGCAGCAGUGGGGAAUUUUGGACAAUGGGCGCAAGCCUGAUCCAGCAAUGCCGCGUGCAGGAUGAAGGCCUUCGGGUUGUAAACUGCUUUUGUACGGAACGGAAAGCUCUGGGCUAAUACCCUGGAGUCAUGACGGUACCGUAAGAAUAAGCACCGGCUAACUACGUGCCAGCAGCCGCGGUAAUACGUAGGGUGCGAGCGUUAAUCGGAAUUACUGGGCGUAAAGCGUGCGCAGGCGGUUUUGUAAGACAGUGGUGAAAUCCCCGG